UAAUUAAUCAGCCUAUACAAAAUACAUUUGUAGUGAGCUUUUACGUUUUAAGUGUCUUUGCAAAUGACAUUUAAAACUAAGACAAAGUUAAGAAAAUCUAAGUUGUAAAACUAAUACUGGCACAUAGAGGAAUUUCGUGUCACAAAGCUUUCAAGUAUCCCAAUACCGCAAAAGUAUUACUUAACCCUUUACACUAAAAUGUGUUUUCAAAGACGAAAUAGACAAAGUUCUCUCACAACAAUUAAACUACUCGCGGAAACGCGAAACAUGACUGAGGGCAUAUACGUGUGCGCGCAUAGCUGCAUAUUCCACUCUAAUAGGAAUCACUGACCGCUUUCCUGAGGAAAUUAUUUUUACUUUACUGGUCAAUGUAUUUAAGCUAAACGUAUAAACCUAAAUGUAAAUAACGUUGUGCUUAAAAAUCUGAAAAAAUCUAGUUUACCUAGUGCAGUAGGAAGAAGAAGAUCGAUUUCACUACUUCAAAUUAAACAACUGCCACUUUCACAUGAAACCCACUGAACUAACUUAUCAUGAAGUGAACUCCCUUUCAUGUACAUGUAACAUUAAGCUACAACAUCUGUCCCACGGCUUCCGAUUUAUUCUAGUCACUCGCUCUUUCCGUUAACGUCACAUUGUGGUAAUGGGGCAAAUUCGCACGGAUGAACAGAAAACAAUUCGUUCCAUAGUUACACCUAACAUGGUGACGUUACUUGAAAAGAUAUAAACAAUUUUGUCUGAAAAGCGUCGCUUCACAGACUUGGCUUCGAGCAAGAGACCUUCGCACACGUCAAGUGCUUAUAGACGGACUUGACAACCUCUCCUCAAUCACGGCACUUUAUCUUGUACAAAACUGGACGCGCACUCACAAAUACCGUGGCUCACUUUGAUUUUCUGCGCUCGUGGAAUGCAUAACUGGGUGGGGCUAGACGUGUCUCUCCUACAAAAACUCGUCUCAUUGGCUGAUGGAACAGUAAAAGUGAGCUGUUAGUUUUCGCAGAUCUGGUGAAACCACAGCAUGUGUUAAACAGCCAUAAAUAUUAAAAUAAACAUACUUAACAGAUGUAUACUUUAUCCCAGUUUUUCCCAAUCCUGGGCCUGUUUCAAUAUGCUUCCAAUUGUUGGAGCACAUACAUAUUGCAACUCCUAAAUCAUAUAAAUCUGUGAAUUUAAUUAAAAUAAUUAUUCUUUUUUCCAGAGUCAAUUGGCAUCUGAUUGUUCAGCUACCUAUACCCCAAAGGCUCUUUUAGGAGCCCUUUCACAGUACGUCUUUGACUUUUUUAUACCUGUAUGCACCAAAGGCUCUCUUAAGAGCCCAUUCACAAAGCGUCUUUGGCUUUUUACGACACCAACGUUUUCCCACUGAAGACGACAAGGGGCAAGGCCUUGUUGUAGAGUAAUGGAUUCCAAAUCUAAGAGGCAGCGAUACACAAGGCAGUGGAAAUAUGCACGAAGAUCAUUGGAUGAAGGUCCUGUGGAGAAGGAACGAUUAGAUCAUCCAUUAACACCUCAAGAAGGAUAUGCUGAAAGAAUGGACAUUGAUGACGACAUCUCAAGUUCUGUUGGUACUGUUGAUGUUGGUUUCAUUGGGAGUUGCAGUUCUGGACAUGAGACUGUGAACAAUGCGCUCAAUGAGGAAACUGAGAGUGUAAAUGAAAUGGCCUCAACUUCACUCCCAACAUUUCUGCAAGAAUGGUCAAUAAAGCACAACAUCACGCAUAAUGCUUUAGAUGAUCUCCUGAAAGGACUUAAAAGAAAUGGACACCCAGAGCUCCCAUCCACAGCAAGGACAUUGCUGAAAACUCCAAGGACUGUUACAUCAUCACAAAAGUCAGGAAUGGAGUGUGUUCAUUUUAAUUUAAGAGAGAGCCUUAGUGACCAGUUAAAACGUUAUCCGACAGAGAUGAUUGAACGAGUGAGUACACUGGAGCUAUCAUUUAAUAUUGAUGGCCUACCCAUUUUUAAAAGCAGCAGGACACAUCUUUGGCCCAUCCUCUGUGCUAUUCACCUAAACCCCAUAAGUGUUUUUCCUGUCACACUGACACUUGGUCCCACCAAACCAAAAGAUCUGGAAUUUGCUGAGGAAGCCAUUAAUGACAUCCAAGAGCUCCUUGACAAUGGUCUAGAUGGAAAAAAUAUUAGGAUCAGAUGCUUUGUGUGUGAUGCACCAGCAAGAGCAAUGGUGAAGAAGAUCAAGCAGUAUUCUGGGUAUUUUGGAUGUGACAAAUGCACUCAGAAAGGCACAUGGAUCUCUGGGCGAGUAACUUACCCAGAGGUAGACAAUCUCACUCUGCGCACCAAUGAAGCAUUUCGUGCUGAAAUGGCCAUACGUCAGGAAAAUCAGACUGCGCCAGUGUCUCCCUUUUUGAGGCUCCCGUUGGAUAUGAUACAACAAUUUCCAAUUGACUACAUGCACCAAGCCUGCCUGGGUGUUAUGAAGAAGCUAAUCACAGAGUGGGUUAGAGGAGACAGAAAAGUAAGACUGUCUGCGGGGCAAAUAAAUGAGGUGACGCAAAGGCUGCUGUCACUCAGAAGCGCCAUUCCAAACUGUUUUGUCAGAAAACCUCGGAAUCUAGAGGACAUUGAUAGGUGGAAGGCAACAGAACUGCGCCAGUUUGCUGUUUAUACAGGCAAGAUCGUGUUGAAGGGCAUUUUGAGUGACCAUCUUUACGACCAUUUCAUGGCAUUCAGUGUUGCCUUGAGUCUUCUGCUUUGUCCAACAUUGGCAAGGGAACACAACAGAUACAGCAAAGAGCUAAUGCAAUACUUCAUUGCGAAAACAAAAGAACUGUAUGGCGACCACUUUCUUGUGUACAACAUCCAUUCAAUGGUACAUCUAUCGGAAGAGGCAAUGGCUUUUGGCAGCCUUGAUGCAUGCAGUGCAUUCCCAUUCGAGAAUUAUCUCGGUAAGCUAAAACGGCUUGUAAGGUCUGGAAAGCAGCCCCUUGUUCAAUUGGCCAAACGUCUCACAGAGAUGUCCACUUCUCCUCUCUCUGUGGUGACCUCCAGGUCGAAAACCAAAAGGCCAAAUAAUGCAUUUAUUCUUGCUGAAGGAAAGUGCUGUGAGGCCAUUGAAGAGAGAAAUGAAUCGGAUGAUUCAGGUACUCCGUUGCUGAUGUGCAGAUGUUUUGAAAGAUCUGAACCACUUUUCAGAGAUCCAGUAGACUCAAGAACACUUGGAUGUUUAAAAGUCCAAAGAAGAUAUUCAGUGAUGAAGCUCAUACCAGAACGCAAGCUGACAAGAAUGGCCAUAAUGAUAGAAAAAGGCCAGGAGUUGAUUUUCUUGGCAGUCCUGCAUGAACACUGAGCACAGGAAGAAUCUCUCUACCUCUCUCUCUCUCUCCACUGGGACAGUCUAUAGGCAUCACAUUUAAGGACAUCAUUGACAGCAAGGACAGACAUUAAGAUGGCCACAAAACAGUAUGCAGUGGUGGAAUUUUCAGACGACAAUUCGGUCGAAAUUGUCCCCACCUCAUGGUUGGAGGAGAGCAAAG